AUGACAGGUUUCAGCUUGGAAUCAUGUUUACCCAUGGAGUCAUUUUGCUAGAAUUCCUAAAUGAAAUGACAGCACAAUUCUGUGGCAACCAAACAGCCCACCUAUGGAAUUCCAAAAUGAAUUCCAGGAUUCCAGGUCCAAAUGAUGGAUACCAAACGACCUCUGAUGGAUUUCCCAUCUCCUUCGUCUUCCCCAUCGGAGAACUGCAGCAGUAAUUAGUGAAGAGUCUCUCUUGAAAUACUGUUGCGGAUCCGUUCCCAUCCUCCCCACAACCCAUGCUCGCUCCAUGUUCAAGAGCUGCUCCUUUUUUGUCCUCCGCUGGUCGAGAUUUCACUGCCCGCGCUUAUUCAGAUCCAGUAGAUUUGGCCUCGGGACACCACCAUUCUUGAUUGGAUGAAUUUGAAGUCCCGCCAUUGCUCAUCGCCUGCUGGUACAGACUUGCUGGGCAGGAAGCAUCUGCAGCGUUGCUGUCCCCUGCGACCAGUUUCAGUCCACUACUAGCUGCACACUCAGUACGUGUCAGGCUAAUCGAGCUUAUCAUGGAGCACCGCCCAACCUAUUUUGCCGAUAUCUACAAGAUAGUGCAGAAGAUGAUAAAUCCUUUCAAAAAGCAGAAACAAGACAUGGUGGGCAUGCUCACUCACUACCUGCACAUGUGCGAAUCCUCGGUUGGGUCAUUGUUUUCUAUCGUUAUUGACUCAUCAUGGCCCAUACAUAAAGGGUUUUUUAAUGCAGGGUUGACUGAUUGGAAGUGUACUGCCAUGUAUUUGUAUUCUCUCAACCGAUAUCGACGUCCUGUACUAACCCCAAGCCCUCUCAGAAUUUUUCAUCUGUGGAAUUGCUUCAAAAUUCUUAAUUUGUGAAUUGCUUGAUGGAUCUUUUAUAUGCAUGGCAGUGUGAUUCCUCUUUCUCCUUUGAUUUUUGUCCUACUUUUGGUGUUGUUUCCAGGUUAUUGUUGCACGCAACAUCUUUUAAGUGAUAUCACAGAGAUUUUUGAUCUUUAUUGGUGAUUAGAAAGGAAUCAACAACCUAGAUCUUUAUAAGAUCUGCCCUUUUGCAUAAGAUAUAGAUGCAUUUUACCUUGCCUUCAAACUUAGUAACAACAAUUGUUUGGGGUCUAUACAGAUCUUCAAUAUGUUCCUUUGCCUAAUAUGUAUUAUCUUUUUUCCUUUCAUCUUACUGUGGAUGGGACAAAUAUUGUUUUGGACUAAAGUUUUUUAAAUGCCAUGGUUGUUCAGUCAGACUAGGUAUGCUCUAUUCACUUGCUCUCUGUAUGUUUUUUUAUUUUCUCUUGCAAUUAUGAAAGAAUAAGACCAGAUUAGAAAAGAAAUAUAUUCUAUGUGCAUUUGCAUCUAAGUGAAGACGGUUAAUGUGUUGAGCUUCAACUUUAUUCUAGCACGGUCUCUGUCAAUAGUCUGAAAGAGUAUUUCUGUACAAGAGGAUUCAUUAAUGUAAUAUAAAGGUUGUUUACUGCAUUUUCGAACUACCAACCAUCAAAGUGAAUCUAAAAUAAACCGUUGCAGUUGUGAUGCUCCCUGCUCUGUAGGCCUCUAGGAGUGCUCACGACCAUUUAAGAUCACCGAAGCUACUGCAAAUGUCUCAUAAGCUCAGGAGCAAAUGAAACAGAACGCAGACACAGGCCACCAUUCUGCAGCAGCACAAGCACAUGUCUUCAAAUCUAGCACUACCUACAUGUCUAGCACAGCUCCAACUCGACCUGGUCCUGGAGCGAAAGAUCAAUUUUCAGUUUAAGUUUUGCACUUAUCUCUUUCGGAGAGUUAAGUUGUGUCUGUAUAUACACAAACUUGCUGACUUGAUGUCAAUGCGUCUUGGUGCAUGUGUGGUAGACUGGUAGCUCCAAUCUAUACUCAUAGCUUACAAGUGUUAUCUCACAAAAUUUAUUAUUAUUGGCUGCAAAGACAUGUUUGGGUCUAUAUCUGAGGAAAGGAGUGCUGUAUGUAAAUGAUACACAAUGGUUUAUAUAUAUUACCAAUUCUCAA